UACAGAGGGGGCAAGCGUUAUUCGGAAUUAUUGGGCGUAAAGGGCGCGUAGGCGGCCUGACAAGUGGAAGGUGAAACCCCUCGGCUCAACUGAGGAACUGCCCUCCAAACUGUUUGGCUUGAGACCGGGAGAGGUGAGUGGAAUUCCCAGUGUAGCGGUGAAAUGCGUAGAUAUUGGGAGGAACACCAGUGGCGAAGGCGGCUCACUGGACCGGUACUGACGCUGAGGCGCGAAAGCGUGGGGAGCAAACGGG
rnacentral:rRNA from 1 species